rnacentral:rRNA from 1 species
GACGAACGCUGGCGGCGUGCUUAACACAUGCAAGUCGAACGGAAAGUCCCUGCUUUUGUGUGGUGCUCGAGUGGCGAACGGGUGAGUAACACGUGAGUAACCUGCCCUUGACUUUGGGAUAACUUCAGGAAACUGGGGCUAAUACCGGAUAGGAGCUCCUGCUGCAUGGUGGGGGUUGGAAAGUUUCGGCGGUUGGGGAUGGACUCGCGGCUUAUCAGCUUGUUGGUGGGGUAGUGGCUUACCAAGGCUUUGGCGGGUAGCCGGCCUGAGAGGGAGACCGGCCAGACUGGGACUGAGAUACGGCCCAGACUCAUGCGGGAGGCAGCAGUGGGGAAGAUUGCACAAUGGGCGGAAGCCUGAUGCAGCAACGCCGCGUGCGGGAUGACGGCCUUCGGGUUGUAAACCGCUUUCGCCUGUGACGAAGCGUGAGUGACGGUAAUGGGUAAAGAAGCACCGGCUAACUACGUG